rnacentral:rRNA from 1 species
UACGUAGGGUGCGAGCGUUAAUCGGAAUUACUGGGCGUAAAGCGUGCGCAGGCGGUUUUGUAAGCCCGAUGUGAAAUCCCCGGGCUUAACCUGGGAAUGGCAUUUGGGACUGCAAGGCUUGAGUGCGGCAGAGGAGACUGGAAUUCCCGGUGUAGCGGCGAAAUGCGCAGAUAUCAGGAGGAACACCGAUGGCGAAGGCGGGUCUCUGGGCCGGAACUGACGCUGAGGAGCGAAAGCGUGGGGAGCGAACAGG